rnacentral:lncRNA from 10 species
AGGAAGAAAGGCAAAGAACGGGUGUUGAUACAGGUGUCAUUUUCAACAUGUGCCACCUAACUCCUGAGCUCAAGCUAAACUCUGUAUAAUCACCCUUGUCAUUGGGAAAAUCUGAAUCCAAUUAUUCCAGUUCAUUUUAAGUCAAAGUUCUCUGUUGAGAGAGUUUCCUGAAAACAAACAUUGGAUUAACAAAAGAGACAAAUGGAAGUUUAUUAAUGCAUGCUGUACCCAUCAUGCAGGAGAGGCCUCAGUUCAAAAGCAUUUCUCUCCCAAGGCAGUGACUUAGGGGACUUGCUUAAAUAGUAUUUCAACAAAGAACCAUCAAUCCGAUAUAGUAGAAAGACAAAGGAGAGAGCAGUUUCAGUCUUUCAAAAGAGAGAAAGAGAGAGCACAGAGGUAUACAGCAUGUGAAACUUUGGACUGCUCAAAGAAGACAUUUUCAAACAUAUCUUUUCAGGACUGUCAAUAGGAACCGUAAGUGAGUUUCAGGUUCGCUCAUCUAAUUGUAGCAGUUAACUGACUGACAAGGUGAAGAAGGAUUGUGGUUUUCUGUUUCAGAUGGAAAAACUAAAAACAUAAGAGAAUCUCACAAUUAUCCACAUAUGCCCCAAAAGUUCAUACUACAGAAGAAUCUAUAUAUACUUAAACAGACUAUUGAGAAAAGUCAAGUUGUUUUUCUAUAUGAACCCAAUAAUGCAUUUUCAAGACACUGGAUAAAUUUAAAAAAAACGGGCAUUUUCCAGGAAACGGAAAGACUAGAAAUAAAAGUAGAAGAAAAAGGCUUAAACAAUAUUCUCCUUUAACUUUCUGUGAUACAUAUUCAUGCUAGUUUAAAAAAAAAAAUUCUCAAAGUAACUACAGCGGGAAUGUAGUAAGGUCACCAGAAGAAAUGUCCUGGGUCCAUUGGCCCAAUCUCUUACUGCUGGAUGAUGCGUGUGAAGAAACCAGAGAGGCGCAGAGUGAGGCAGUGAGGAAAUAAAAAUAGAGUCCGCGCUUUCAAGUGUUUCCUGAUCUGCUGGGGAAAAUGGUCAUAUUAACACAUGGAGUCAUGGCACAGUGUGUGCUAAGGAUCAUGGUAAAGGUGUACACAGUGAUUUGCUAACAAGAGGGAUAGAAGGUGUGGCUCAGGGAAUGACACAGCUGUCUGAAAGAGUCAAAAUGUACCACAGAGAACGUGACAGAGAUCUGGAUCUCAAAGAAAUGAGAGGUUGCCUAGGGAGCAACAACAAGGAGGGCAUUCCUGGCAGAGGAAAUGGCAUGUGCAAAGAGACAUCAAGAGGAUGAAGCAUUAGAAAUAUAACUAAAUUAUGGUUAUAGCUUGGGUGCCUAUUAAUAGAUCUGCUCAAUAUUAGGCAAAAACAAUAACAAUUGAGAAUUUGUAUAUCAUCUUUGGUGUCUUCUUUGAUAACUUAUUUUGUGUAUGUGUGUUUUUCUUUCCUGCUACUACUCUGGAGACUUGUUCCACUGGUGACCUUUAUGCAUUCUAAACAAUCGUAAUUUCACAGAGUAAGUUGUUCUCUUCUCCCUAUGUGUUUUGUCACUAGCCAUUGUUUUAAAGUAGCUUGCUUGGUUUUUUGUAUUGCAUCUUGUGAAAGCCUAGAUGCCUAGGGGCUUUCAUACAAAUGUAGAAGUCAAAAUACAUUUCUUCUUGGAAGGUAAUAAAGUGUGAAUGUUUUCAACAAAUAAAG